UACGUAGGGAGCAAGCGUUGUUCGGAUUUACUGGGCGUAAAGGGCGCGUAGGCGGCAAUUUAAGUCAUCUGUGAAAUCUCCGGGCUUAACUCGGAACGGUCAGAUGAUACUACUUUGCUAGAGUGCAGAAGGGGCAAUCGGAAUUCUUGGUGUAGCGGUGAAAUGCGUAGAUAUCAAGAGGAACACCUGAGGUGAAGACGGGUUGCUGGGCUGACACUGACGCUGAGGCGCGAAAGCCAGGGGAGCAAACGGGAUUAGAAACCCCCGUAGUCC
rnacentral:rRNA from 1 species